AUGUCUCUAUGUGUCUCUGGAUUUAUGCGGCAAUUCCAACAUGCUAGGACUUAUGACAGAACAAAACGCUUAUGACUUACUUUAGAGCUUAAAGGGAACUAUGUGCAAUAUACUUCUUAGUGCGUAAAUUUUAUGAAUGCUGGACUUGUAGUUACAAAAUAGCGCCUAUAAAUGCAUAUACUAUUCUUUGGUUUCUCUGUGUAGUUCUCAUGGGAGCCCAAGAUUUGUAUGCAUAAUAAGGUGCAUACCUCCAUUUCUUUCUGCCGAGGUAAAAUCCUAUUCUAUUGACCUGCGAACCUCCACAAGUAGGUCGGUUGAAACUUAAAUUUGGCAUAGCUUUAAUUGGAAAUGAAUUCAGGGUAGGUGCUCUGCUUGAAGUUUACUAGUUAUCUAUAUAAUGGAUUAAAGGUCCUGCGUUUAUUCGGAAGAAGUCAAUGGUGCAGUAGACUGGCUAGUGUCAUGGGAAGUUUAAGGAUAACUAGUAUGAACCUGCAUCAUCAUUUGAUCUCGUGCUCCUUGGACGAGGAGGGUAGAGUUUAUGAGAAUGAUGUAAUUUGUCAUUAUCAACUCACAUGUAACUGCUAAAAGGUUUGCAUUUUUUCCCUGGAACUUUAUCCAGGAAUAAAAGUUCCUUGGUGAUGUAUAAUAAUGUCUAGUGAAAGGCUGCAUUCAACAAUGAGCUUUACCCCGGGGCUAACUCAUCUGAGAAAGGCUUGAAGACAUCACUUUGCAGAGUAGCAGAUUGUGAUCAAAUUAUGUGCUUGAUAUUAUUGCCUUUGUAUUCUUCCUCCUUACCUCAAAUUGCACAUAAAAGUUAUAUCCUGCUGAUCUUUUAUGUGUUGUUUUCCCAUUACUGUACUAUUAUAUUAUUAUUAUAUGAUGAUAUGACGACGUCAUUGUAUUAUGCCCACUCUUCUCUCUACUUUAUAGGGCCAUCCGGGUUUUACCUAAGUAGUAGAUUAGUUCAAGCUCGAGCAUCAGGAAGUACCCUCUUGUUUUAUUGAGGGGCUGUGGUUUCAAGCAUCUUCAGAUUAUAACAUCACACUCGUUGUCUUACCCUACAAUCAUGGACAAUCAUUUUGGUUACAUGUUAUAUUCUUGAUGUGUUUAAGGCGUCGGACAUCUUUUAUCUUGACCUUGCAGAUCCAGAAGAAAUGAGAAGCCAAGGAGGGUUGGCUGACAUGUUCCCUAGAGCUGCUACAGGAGCUAAUAGGAGAAUUUAGUUAACAAAUAUUUUGGAAGUGUAGUUUUGAAUCCUGGAAAAGAGUUAUAUCUUCAAUUUCGGUUGCUUUCUUGUUUGGAUUUUAAUGAGCUAGACAGAGGAAUCCUGCAUGAUCUAGUUUUCGUAUUUACGCUCACAGUUUGGAUAUUUUCUCGCAUUUUAGUUUCAUCUGUGUUUCAUACAUGUUCAGAAUUUGAACGCAACAGUGUCUUUUAAUGUUUGACCAAAUUUUUUGCACUUUGAUACUUUCUGAUGCUUCUUCAGCAUGUCACGAUGUUGCUCUAGCCUUCAGGGGAAAUAUUGAGGUCUCUAUGGUGAUUUCGGAUUCUAACCCUUGCUAUGAAGACGCACAUAUGAAGCUUGCUGCAGUACUUUUAAUGUUGCUAUUGAGUCCAACUGAGUGUUAUGUUUGUUUCCUGGUCUUUUCUUUCUUCUGUCAUGAUCCUGUUCAUGCCUGAACAUUUGAAAGAUGGG